rnacentral:rRNA from 1 species
AUUGAACGCUGGCGGCAGGCCUAACACAUGCAAGUCGAGCGGAUGAAGGGAGCUUGCUCCUGGAUUCAGCGGCGGACGGGUGAGUAAUGCCUAGGAAUCUGCCUGGUAGUGGGGGAUAACGUCCGGAAACGGGCGCUAAUACCGCAUACGUCCUGAUGGAGAAAGUGGGGGAUCUUCGGACCUCACGCUAUCAGAUGAGCCUAGGUCGGAUUAGCUAGUUGGUGGGGUAAAGGCCUACCAAGGCGACGAUCCGUAACUGGUCUGAGAGGAUGAUCAGUCACACUGGAACUGAGACACGGACCAGACUCCUACGGGAGGCAGCAGUGGGGAAUAUUGGACAAUGGGCGAAAGCCUGAUCCAGCCAUGCCGCGUGUGUGAAGAAGGUCUUCGGAUUGUAAAGCACUUUAAGUUGGGAGGAAGGGCAGUAAGUUAAUACCUUGCUGUUUUGACGUUACCAACAGAAUAAGCACCGGCUAACUUCGUG